rnacentral:sRNA from 1 species
UAUUAUAGUACGCUUAAUUUCCGAGUCAUCGGAAAGCGGGGGAACCAAUUUUCUGGGGCGAAUCAUGAUGUAGGGAACCAUCUUUCCCGAGCCCGGCAGCUAACCUCGUCAGCAGUUAGAUGGGUCAA